GUGGGGAAUCUUGCACAAUGGGCGAAAGCCUGAUGCAGCCAUGCCGCGUGAAUGAUGAAGGCCUUAGGGUUGUAAAAUUCUUUCGCCAGGGAUGAUAAUGACAGUACCUGGUAAAGAAGCCCCGGCUAACUUCGUGCCAGCAGCCGCGGUAAUACGAAGGGGGCUAGCGUUGUUCGGAAUUACUGGGCGUAAAGCGCACGUAGGCGGACUUUUAAGUCAGAUGUGAAAUCCCGGGGCUCAACCUCGGAACUGCAUUUGAAACUGGAAGUCUGGAGUUCAGGAGAGGUUAGCGGAAUACCGAGUGUAGAGGUGAAAUUCGUAGAUAUUCGGUGGAACACCAGUGGCGAAGGCGGCUAACUGGACUGAUACUGACGCUGAGGUGCGAAAGUGUGGGGAGCAAACAGGAUUAGAUACCCUAGUAGUCC
rnacentral:rRNA from 1 species